rnacentral:lncRNA from 1 species
GGGAGAUGAAAUACCCCUCUGUUAUUUUUUUUCUUCUUCUUUCCAAAUAAGUUGGACAUAAAUUAGGAUGGAGUAAAGGUUUGUCAUGCCUUCAGUGUGUUCAGGGGGGAGCUUAUGUUGGAAUUUCUUGUCAUGAUUUCUGGAAUCUGGCAUGAAAGUGUCAUUGAUGAGAAUCGGAGAGGGAAUGUAUGUAUUAUUUGGCUUUAUAUGUAUCAGUCAAUUGGGAAUUAUGCCUUACAUUUUGUCGCUUACAUUCUUGAUGAAUCCUGGGACUUUCAUCUCCCAUGUUUUCAUCUUGUUGGUGUUGUAAAUCCUUUUUGUUGUUUUCACG